rnacentral:rRNA from 1 species
GUUAGGAAUAUUGGACAAUGGGCGAAAGCCUGAUCCAGCCAUGCCGCGUGAACGAUGAAGGCCUUCGGGUUGUAAAGUUCUUUAGCCGAUGAUUAUAAUGACUGUAGUCGGAAAAUAAGCCCCGGCUAACUUCGUGCCAGCAGCCGCGGUAAUACGAAGGGGGCGAGCGUUAUUCGGAAUCACUGGGCGUAAAGCGUGCGUAGGCGGUUUUGUAAGUUAGGAGUGAAAGCCCAGGGCUCAACCUUGGAAUUGCUCUUAAAACUGAGAGGCUCGAAUCUCGGAGAGGAUAGCGGAAUUUCCAGUGUAGCAGUGAAAUGCGUAGAUAUUGGAAGGAACACCAGUGGCGUAAGCGGCUAUCUGGACGAGUAUUGACGCUGAGGCACGAAAGCGUGGGGAUCAAACAGGAUUAGAUACCCCAGUAGUCC